rnacentral:rRNA from 1 species
AUUGAACGCUGGCGGCAUGCCUUACACAUGCAAGUCGAACGGUAACAGGUCUUCGGAUGCUGACGAGUGGCGAACGGGUGAGUAAUACAUCGGAACGUGCCUAGUAGUGGGGGAUAACUACUCGAAAGAGUGGCUAAUACCGCAUGAGAUCUACGGAUGAAAGCAGGGGAUCGAAAGACCUUGUGCUACUAGAGCGGCCGAUGGCAGAUUAGGUAGUUGGUGGGAUAAAAGCUUACCAAGCCGACGAUCUGUAGCUGGUCUGAGAGGGCGAUCAGCCACACUGGGACUGAGACACGGCCCAGACUCCUACGGGAGGCAGCAGUGGGGAAUUUUGGACAAUGGGCGAAAGCCUGAUUCAGCAAUGCCGCGUGCAGGAUGAAGGCCUUCGGGUUGUAAACUGCUUUUGUACGGAACGAAAAGCCCUGGGUUAAUACCCUGGGGUCAUGACGGUACCGUAAGAAUAAGCACCGGCUAACUACGUGCCAGCAGCCGCGGUAAUAC